CCUACGGGUGGCAGCAGUGGGGAAUAUUGGACAAUGGGCGAAAGCCUGAUCCAGCCAUGCCGCGUGUGUGAAGAAGGCCUUCGGGUUGUAAAGCACUUUCAGUGGGGAAGAAAGCCUUGGGGCUAAUACCCUCGAGGAAGGACAUCACCCACAGAAGAAGCACCGGCUAACUCCGUGCCAGCAGCCGCGGUAAUACGGAGGGUGCGAGCGUUAAUCGGAAUUACUGGGCGUAAAGCGCGCGUAGGCGGUCUGAUAAGCCGGUUGUGAAAGCCCCGGGCUCAACCUGGGAACGGCAUCCGGAACUGUCAGGCUAGAGUGCAGGAGAGGAAGGUAGAAUUCCCGGUGUAGCGGUGAAAUGCGUAGAGAUCGGGAGGAAUACCAGUGGCGAAGGCGGCCUUCUGGACUGACACUGACGCUGAGGUGCGAAAGCGUGGGUAGCAAACAGGAUUAGAUACCCGGGUAUC
rnacentral:rRNA from 1 species